UACAGAGGAUCCAAGCGUUAUCCGGAAUCAUUGGGUUUAAAGGGUCCGUAGGCGGGCCUGUAAGUCAGUGGUGAAAUCUCCCGGCUCAACCGGGAAACUGCCAUUGAUACUGCAGGUCUUGAAUGUCUGUGAAGUAACUAGAAUAUGUAGUGUAGCGGUGAAAUGCUUAGAGAUUACAUGGAAUACCGAUUGCGAAGGCAGGUUACUAACAGAUGAUUGACGCUGAUGGACGAAAGCGUGGGGAGCGAACAGG
rnacentral:rRNA from 1 species